rnacentral:rRNA from 1 species
GUGUCAGCAGCCGCGGUAAGACGAACCGUGCAAACGUUGUUCGGAAUCACUGGGCUUAAAGGGCGCGUAGGCGGGGGACCAAGUCCGGGGUGAAAUCUUUCGGCUCAACCGGAAAACUGCCUUGGAUACUGGUCUUCUUGAGGGAGGUAGGGGCAGGUGGAACUUCCGGUGGAGCGGUGAAAUGCGUUGAUAUCGGAAGGAACGCCGGUGGCGAAAGCGACCUGCUGGAUCUCUUCUGACGCUGAUGCGCGAAAGCUAGGGGAGCGAACGGGAUUAGAUACCCCGGUAGUCCUAGCCCUAAACGUUGGGUACUAGGUUGCGGAUCUGACAUGGGUUCGCAGCCGAAGCAAAAGUGUUAAGUACCCCGCCUGGGGAGUAUGGUCGCAAGGCUGAA